GGGUUGUGAGGUUAAGCGACUAAGCGUACACGGUGGAUGCCCUGGCAGUCAGAGGCGAUGAAGGACGUGCUAAUCUGCGAAAAGCGUCGGUAAGGUGAUAUGAACCGUUAUAGCCGGCGAUGUCCGAAUGGGGAAACCCAGUGCAAUUCGUUGCACUAUCGUUAACUGAAUACAUAGGUUAACGAGGCGAACCGGGGGAACUGAAACAUCUAAGUACCCCGAGGAAAAGAAAUCAACCGAGAUUCCCCCAGUAGCGGCGAGCGAACGGGGAGCAGCCCAGAGUCUGAAUCAGCUUGUGUGUUAGUGGAACGGUCUGGAAAGUCCGACGGUACAGGGUGAUAGUCCCGUACACCAAAAUGCACAGGUUGUGAACUCGAAGAGUAGGGCGGGACACGUGGUAUCCUGUCUGAAUAUGGGGGGACCAUCCUCCAAGGCUAAAUACUCCUGACUGACCGAUAGUGAACCAGUACCGUGAGGGAAAGGCGAAAAGAACCCCGGCGAGGGGAGUGAAAAAGAACCUGAAACCGUGUACGUACAAGCAGUGGGAGCACCUUCGGGUGUGACUGCGUACCUUUUGUAUAAUGGGUCAGCGACUUAUAUUCUGUAGCAAGGUUAACCGUAUAGGGGAGCCGCAGGGAAACCGAGUCUUAACUGGGCGUUAAGUUGCAGGGUAUAGACCCGAAACCCGGUGAUCUAGCCAUGGGCAGGUUGAAGGUUGGGUAACACUAACUGGAGGACCGAACCGACUAAUGUUGAAAAAUUAGCGGAUGACUUGUGGCUGGGGGUGAAAGGCCAAUCAAACCGGGAGAUAGCUGGUUCUCCCCGAAAGCUAUUUAGGUAGCGCCUCGUGAAUUCAUCUUCGGGGGUAGAGCACUGUUUCGGCUAGGGGGUCAUCCCGACUUACCAACCCGAUGCAAACUACGAAUACCGAAGAAUGUUAUCACGGGAGACACACGGCGGGUGCUAACGUCCGUCGUGAAGAGGGAAACAACCCAGACCGCCAGCUAAGGUCCCAAAGUCAUGGUUAAGUGGGAAACGAUGUGGGAAGGCACAGACAGCCAGGAUGUUGGCUUAGAAGCAGCCAUCAUUUAAAGAAAGCGUAAUAGCUCACUGGUCGAGUCGGCCUGCGCGGAAGAUGUAACGGGGCUAAACCAUGCACCGAAGCUGCGGCAGCGACACUAUGUGUUGUUGGGUAGGGGAGCGUUCUGUAAGCCUGCGAAGGUGACCUGUGAGGGUUGCUGGAGGUAUCAGAAGUGCGAAUGCUGACAUAAGUAACGAUAAAGCGGGUGAAAAGCCCGCUCGCCGGAAGACCAAGGGUUCCUGUCCAACGUUAAUCGGGGCAGGGUGAGUCGACCCCUAAGGCGAGGCCGAAAGGCGUAGUCGAUGGGAAACAGGUUAAUAUUCCUGUACUUGGUGUUACUGCGAAGGGGGGACGGAGAAGGCUAUGUUAGCCGGGCGACGGUUGUCCCGGUUUAAGCAUGUAGGCUGAUUGUCCAGGCAAAUCCGGAUAAUCAAGGCUGAGGUGUGAUGACGAGGCACUACGGUGCUGAAGUAACAAAUGCCCUGCUUCCAGGAAAAGCCUCUAAGCAUCAGGUAACAUUAAAUCGUACCCCAAACCGACACAGGUGGUCAGGUAGAGAAUACCAAGGCGCUUGAGAGAACUCGGGUGAAGGAACUAGGCAAAAUGGUGCCGUAACUUCGGGAGAAGGCACGCUGGUGUGUAGGUGAAGUCCCUGCGGAUGGAGCUGAGACCAGUCGAAGAUACCAGCUGGCUGCAACUGUUUAUUAAAAACACAGCACUGUGCAAACACGAAAGUGGACGUAUACGGUGUGACGCCUGCCCGGUGCCGGAAGGUUAAUUGAUGGGGUUAUCCGUAAGGAGAAGCUCUUGAUCGAAGCCCCGGUAAACGGCGGCCGUAACUAUAACGGUCCUAAGGUAGCGAAAUUCCUUGUCGGGUAAGUUCCGACCUGCACGAAUGGCGUAAUGAUGGCCAGGCUGUCUCCACCCGAGACUCAGUGAAAUUGAACUCGCUGUGAAGAUGCAGUGUACCCGCGGCAAGACGGAAAGACCCCGUGAACCUUUACUAUAGCUUGACACUGAACAUUGAGCCUUGAUGUGUAGGAUAGGUGGGAGGCUUUGAAGCGUGGACGCCAGUCUGCGUGGAGCCAACCUUGAAAUACCACCCUUUAAUGUUUGAUGUUCUAACGUUGGCCCCUGACCGGGGUUGCGGACAGUGUCUGGUGGGUAGUUUGACUGGGGCGGUCUCCUCCCAAAGCGUAACGGAGGAGCACGAAGGUUAGCUAAUCCUGGUCGGACAUCAGGAGGUUAGUGCAAUGGCAUAAGCUAGCUUGACUGCGAGCGUGACGGCGCGAGCAGGUGCGAAAGCAGGUCAUAGUGAUCCGGUGGUUCUGAAUGGAAGGGCCAUCGCUCAACGGAUAAAAGGUACUCCGGGGAUAACAGGCUGAUACCGCCCAAGAGUUCAUAUCGACGGCGGUGUUUGGCACCUCGAUGUCGGCUCAUCACAUCCUGGGGCUGAAGUAGGUCCCAAGGGUAUGGCUGUUCGCCAUUUAAAGUGGUACGCGAGCUGGGUUUAGAACGUCGUGAGACAGUUCGGUCCCUAUCUGCCGUGGGCGCUGGAGAAUUGAGGGGGGCUGCUCCUAGUACGAGAGGACCGGAGUGGACGCAUCACUGGUGUUCGGGUUGUCAUGCCAAUGGCACUGCCCGGUAGCUAAAUGCGGAAGAGAUAAGUGCUGAAAGCAUCUAAGCACGAAACUUGCCCCGAGAUGAGUUCUCCCUGAGACUUUAAGUCUCCUGAAGGAACGUUAAAGACGAUGACGUUGAUAGGCCGGGUGUGUAAGCGCAGCGAUGCGUUGAGCUAACCGGUACUAAUGAACCGUGAGGCUUAACCUUACAACGCCGAAG
rnacentral:rRNA from 1 species